UUGACCUCGGAUCAGGUAGGGAUACCCGCUGAACUUAAGCAUAUCAAUAAGCGGAGGAAAAGAAACCAACAGGGAUUGCCUCAGUAACGGCGAGUGAAGCGGCAACAGCUCAAAUUUGAAAUCUGGCCUUCGGGUCCGAGUUGUAAUUUGUAGAGGAUGUUUUGGGUACCGCCGCAGUUUAAAUUUCUUGGAACAGAAUGUCAGAGAGGGUGAGAAUCCCGUCUGGAACUGCGGUAGGGCCUAUGUAAAACUCCUUCGACGAGUCGAGUUGUUUGGGAAUGCAGCUCAAAAUGGGUGGUAAAUUUCAUCUAAAGCUAAAUAUUGGCCAGAGACCGAUAGCGCACAAGUAGAGUGAUCGAAAGAUGAAAAGCACUUUGAAAAGAGAGUUAAACAGUAUGUGAAAUUGUUGAAAGGGAAGCGCUUGCAACCAGACUUGUGUGUGGCGGUUCCCCCUUGCUUCUGCUUGGGCUACUCCGUCAUAUCCAGGCCAACAUCGGUUCUAGGGGCUGGUUAAAGGCCUUGGGAAUGUAUCUACCCCCGGGUAGACUUAUAGCCCAGGGUGUCAUGCGGCCACCCAGGACCGAGGAACGCGCUUCGGCGAGGAUGUUGGCGUAAUGGUUGUCAGCGACCCGUCUUGAAACACGGACCAAGGAGUCUAACAUCUAUGCGAGUGUUUGGGUGUCAAACCCGUACGCGAAAUGAAAGUGAACGGAGGUAGGAAGCCUUUUAGGCUGCACUAUCGACCGAUCCUGAUAUUUAUGGAUGGAUUUGAGUAAGAGCAUAGCUGUUGGGACCCGAAAGAUGGUGAACUAUGCCUGAAUAGGGUGAAGCCAGAGGAAACUCUGGUGGAGGCUCGCAGCGGUUCUGACGUGCAAAUCGAUCGUCAAAUUUGGGUAUAGGGUAAGUCCUUAUUUUCAUUCUUUUGUUUUUGUUGUACCCGGGUUGUAUUCCAUUAAGGCCCUAACAGCUCGCUAUAAUAAUUGGCCUGGGCUGCUUAGCCAAAUUUUAGAAUAUCUUGUUAUUAUCUAUUACAAACAAUUGCUAACGGUAUUCUUAACAGGGCGAAAGACUAAUCGAACCAUUGCAUGACAAGCACGUAAAAAAAGGUCAAUUUUAUUCCGUCGUAUAUGAGUGCGCGUGGAGUGUCUGUCGUUGGGUCAUGGCAGACGC
rnacentral:rRNA from 1 species